AUGGCUAAGAAAACUGAACAAGCCAAUCAAUCAAAUUUUAUCCCCUCUCUCCUCUUACACUGUAAAACCUACCCAUCCAUGGUAAGCUUGUCUUUUUCCUUUGCUGAGCAUCUGCUGGCUUUAGAGGGACCUGAGUUUUGGUGGCCAAGGAAGAGCGUCUCCUUGUUCUACAAAAUCCUGCCUGUUAAGGUUAUGGGUGCUGAGCACACUUUGUCCACUGUGACUGUGGGCCUUGUCUCUGAAAGUGAUAAUCCCUCUUGGGACAGACACGAGGUGCUGCCCUUCCCCGACACACGGUGCACGCUGCUCUCUGCUUCCUGGUGGAGGGUGGCAGUGCCAGGGCUCUGUGGACUCCUCUAGCUCAGCUGUAUUUGAAAGGCUGCCUGUUGACAUUCUCCGGGAGCGGGGGGCCAAGCUCCACAGCACCAACCAACCUCGUCCUGAGACCUUUCACCGGCACCUUCCGUCAAUCUCAGAGUUUUCUGGGCUCGUCAACAUUUGUUGAAGCAUCAUCCUUGCCUAUUUGCAGGUCAGCUUUAUGCCCUGCCCCCAGCCUUUUAAUGCAGGUAAACUCUGUUUGCAUAACAUCAUCAUCUGUUAAGAACAGGCUCUGGAGUCAGGCCACUCGAGUCCAGAUGCCUUCUGCCUUGCUUACUGGUUAAGUGUGCUCAGUCACUCAGUUGUGUCCAACUCUGCAACCCCACGGAAUGUAGCCAGCAUAUUAUAAAGCAGAGACAUGACUUUGCCAACUAAAGUCCAUCUUGUCAAAGCUAUGGUUUUUCCAGUAGUCAUGUAUGGAUGUAAGAGUUGGACCAUAAAACUGACAGCUAAAGAAUUGAUGCUUUUCAACUGUGGUGCUGGAGAAGACUCUAGAGAGUCCCUUGGACUGCAAGGAGAUCCAACCAGUCCCUCCUAAAGGAAAUCAGUCCUGAAUAUUCAUUGGAAGGACUGAUGCUGAAGCUGAAGCUCCAAUACUUUGGCCACCUGAUGUGAAGAACUGACUCAUUGGAAAAGACCCUGAUGCUGGGAAAGAUUGAAGGUGGGAGGAGAAGCGGAUGACAGAGGAUGAGAUGGUUGGAUGGUACCACUGACUCGAUGAACAUGAGUUUGAACAAGUGCCAGGAGUUGCUGAUGGACAGGGAAGCCUGGCGUGCUUCAGUCCAUGGGGUUGCAGAGUCAGACAUGACUGAGCAACUGAACUGAACUGAGAGUUGAACUCCUAUGCAACAGCCAGCAUCAACUUCUAGACAUGUGAGUGUGCAUCUUGGAAGCCCACCCCAGUCAUGCCUCCAGAUGGCUCCAGCCCCAGAAGAACCACACAGCUGAGCCUAGCCAAAUGCAAGAAUCAUGAGAGAACUACGGUUUGGGGUGAUUUUCCGUGCAGCAAUAGAUAACCCAACUACUGACUUGUACAAGCAGAUGGAGUAAGAGGAAGUGAGAUGAAGCUGGAGAAGUCAUCAGGAGUAGAUUAUGUGGAGCCUGGUAAGCCAUGGUCAGGAGUUUUGUUAUCAUUCCUAAGAGCAGUGGGAAACUGUAGAAAGAUUUUGGGUAGAAAGGGGACACUGUUGCAUUGACGAGCUUCCCUGGCAGUUCGGCUCGUAAAGAAUCCUGUGUCCAUGGACAGAGGAGCCUGGUGGGUUACAGUCCAUGGGGUCACAAAGAGCUGGACAGGACUGAGCGACUAGGCACAGCAUAUCGCGUUUAUAUUUCACCCAGAUCAUCUGCCUGCUGUGUGGAAAACAGCCUGGAGGGGGAGCCAGAGAGGUGAGCCAGCCCGGAGAUGAAGGAUGCUAUUGAGGCAGGAAGCGGAAAGGUGGGUUGGACUGGGGAGUGGAGUGGGGAGUGGGGUUUAGUGAUUGAAAGGGAGUAAAGUGGAUGGUCAGUGAUAUUUAGGAGAUUAAAUUAUGAUGGCUCAGGGACUGCUGGUAAUCUAUGUGGCCCUUACCUAACCAGUUCCUUCUGUUCUCUGUUUCCCCCAUACCUCUACAGCAUCACAUGUGGAGAGAGCAAGGACUCAGGUACCAGAUACAUUAAUCCCAGUUCUCUACUUAUCUGCUGUGUUACCUCGGGAAAGUCACCUAACUUCUCUGGACUUCAGUUUUCCUCUGCUAUCAAACAGAGGCAAUACAAAGAAUGAUCAUAGUAAUUAAUUCUCCUUGUUUACUGAACAGUGCCUGGCACAUAGCAGGCACUCAAUCAAUAUUUGUUGAAUGAAUGAAUUUAGUGGGCUAGAAUUGAGGAGGUACAAAGAAGAAAUGAUCUUAUUUUUCUCCUCCUCCUGAAAAUUUCUUCUGUCAAAGGUGGUUUCCCUCUCUUGACUCCUGAUAAUAAUCAGGCAGAUCCAUGACUUCUUGGUCCCUUUGGGGCAAAAUAACAGUUUCAUUUUGGUAAUUAAAACUCACUUCCAGUCAUUAGAAAGUCCACUUUGACCCAGUGAAAUAAAAUAUUUUGAUUUCUCA
rnacentral:lncRNA from 1 species